AGUCAGUGACUAAGGGAGACCGAUAAGUGAUCCACCUGGGGAGUACGUCGGCAACGAUGAAACUCUAAGGAAUUGACGGGGGCCCGCACAAGCGGAGGAACAUGUGGUUUAAUUCGAUGAUACGCGAGGAACCUUACCUGGGCUUAAAUGCUGGCUGCAUUCACGCGAUAGCGUGAUUUCCUACGGGACCGCCAGCAAGGUGCUGCAUGGUUGUCGUCAGCUCGUGCCGUGAGGUGUCGGGUUAAGUCCCAUAACGAGCGCAACCCCUUAUCGUUAGUUGCCAGCAUGUAAUGGUGGGGACUCUAACGAGGCUGCCGGUGUAAACCGGAGGAAGGUGGGGAUGACGUCAAAUCAGCACGGCCCUUACGUCCAGGGCUACACACGUGUUACAAUGGCCGGUACAAAGAGCAGCCACCUGGCGACAGGGUGCUAAUCUCUAAAACCGGUCUCAGUUCGGAUCGAAGUCUGCAAUUCGACUUCGUGAAGAUGGAUUCGCUAGUAAUCGCGCAUCAGCCAUGGCGCGGUGACUACGCCUCCCGGGCCUUGUACACACCGCCCGUCAAGCCAUGGAAGCCGGGGGUACCUGAAGUCCGUAACC
rnacentral:rRNA from 1 species